AAUGAACGCUGGCGGCGUGCUUAACACAUGCAAGUCGAACGAGAAAGGGAUUGCUUGCAGUCCCGAGUAGAGUGGCGCACGGGUGAGUAACACGUAGAUAAUCUGCCUUCAAGCCUGGGAUAACUAUUGGAAAGGGUAGCUAAUACCGGAUAAAGUCGAUCUACACAAGUAGAUUGAUGAAAGAUUGCCUCUUCUUGAAAGCAAUUGUUUGGAGAUGAGUUUGCGUACCAUUAGCUUGUUGGUGGGGUAAAGGCCUACCAAGGCAACGAUGGUUAGCUGGUCUGAGAGGAUGAUCAGCCACACUGGAACUGGAACACGGUCCAGACUCCUACGGGAGGCAGCAGUGAGGAAUUUUGCGCAAUGGGGGCAACCCUGACGCAGCAACGCCGCGUGAGUGAAGAAGGCCUUUGGGUGGUAAAGCUCUGUCA
rnacentral:rRNA from 1 species